rnacentral:tRNA from 1 species
GGGGGUAUAGCUCAGUUGGUAGAGCAGAGCGCGUGCUGAGCAUGCACGAAGUACUUGGUUCAAUUCCCAGUAUGUCCA